rnacentral:rRNA from 1 species
GCUCAGGACGAACGCUGGCGGCGUGCCUAAUACAUGCAAGUCGAGCGGACCGACGGGAGCUUGCUCCCUUAGGUCAGCGGCGGACGGGUGAGUAACACGUGGGUAACCUGCCUGUAAGACUGGGAUAACUCCGGGAAACCGGGGCUAAUACCGGAUGCUUGAUUGAACCGCAUGGUUCAAUCAUAAAAGGUGGCUUUUAGCUACCACUUACAGAUGGACCCGCGGCGCAUUAGCUAGUUGGUGAGGUAACGGCUCACCAAGGCGACGAUGCGUAGCCGACCUGAGAGGGUGAUCGGCCACACUGGGACUGAGACACGGCCCAGACUCCUACGGGAGGCAGCAGUAGGGAAUCUUCCGCAAUGGACGAAAGUCUGACGGAGCAACGCCGCGUGAGUGAUGA